rfam:Bombyx mori DNA, contig: Bm_scaf17_contig12588, strain: p50T/Dazao, build 2, whole genome shotgun sequence.
UUAACUUAAAUUUGUAUGGAGAUGGAACGUUCUACGUUUGCCGCUACGGGCGCUGUUCCAACUGCAUACAAAUUUGAGUUA